CUCUCUCUCUCGUACACUCUUUCCCUCUCUCCCCUUCUCCCUCUCUCUCUCACUCUCUCCUUUCCCCUCUCUCUCUCCCUCUCUCUCUCUCUCUGGCAACAGCCUGCAUUGUUGGCAGGAGUGUCCAGAAUAAAAACAGCAACACCAGACAUAGGAGAGAAAAAAGUGAAAUGAUCCAUUGAACUGAAAGUCUUUGCCCUUUUUUAAUUACGUCGUGUCCAGUAUCUUUCGCUCUUUUUUUUCAUUUUUCAAGCACUUUAUGAAGUGGUAAUUAGCUUGUGGAGAAUAAAACCAGCUGAUUUGGACAGGGCUGGGGCAUUUUAGAGUGAGAUGGCUAACAGCAAGGUUGUAUCACUCCUUCAUGGAUUCCUCCUCCUCGCUCUGUUUCAACCUUCACUUCAAGGAGGUGUGUAUGUCCCUGCCGGGGGAGUUGGAGGGGGUGGCGGACUAGGUGCUGGUGCUUACCCAGCAGGAGCAGGGGGAUACAAACCAGCCAAAACAGGAGCAUAUGGGGGAGCAGGAGGCCUUGUUCCAGGAGGAGGCGGAUUAGGGCCUGGAGGACUCGGAGGAGGAGCAGGUGCUAAGCCCCCCAAACCAUGGUAUGGUGGGGCUGGUGGUCUGGGAGUCGGAGGAGCUGGAGCUGGAGCAGGCUAUGGUGGAGCGGGAGGAGUUGGCCCAGGCGGAGUGGGGGGCCUCGGGGCAGGAGCUGGUGGGAAACCUCCUAAACCAGGCUAUGGUGGUGUUGGUGGCCUGGGUCCAGGUGGAGUAGGAGGUCAAGGUAAGCGGCCUUUAACUGUUUCAUCAUAGUCAUUCCUCGGGAGAUUAUUCAUAGUGUGAUAUCAUGUAAUGGAAGGGCUGCAUGGUUGUUUAAAUAAAUCUACCGGAGUAGCUGGUGGAAAGCCUCCU
rnacentral:lncRNA from 1 species